AGAUUUUGGACCAAAAAAGCUUGUAUUUCUUAGCUGCUUUGAAGUUACAAUUGGUUUUGAUGUAUUCUUUUCUGCUGAAAAAUGAGUCAGAUGCUGUCUGGCAUUUACCGAGUGUUCCACACCGUUUAAAUAAUCUAAGUAUAUAUAUAUAUAUAUAUAUAUAUAUUUUGUUCGUCAUCUCCACAAAUGUAUGACCAUUAUCUUCUGUAGGAAAUUCGGCUGUACAAGCAAUUUCUUUACUUAUAAAAAAGGGUGUACCAGAGUCUAACAUCAUAUUUCUCAAUCUCAUAUCGGCACCCCAAGGCGUGCAUGUGGUCUGCAAAGCCUUUCCCAGAAUAAAAAUCGUGACAUCUGAGAUUGAGUUGGGCCUGAAUAAGGACUUCCGUGUCGUACCAGGCAUGGGCGAGUUUGGGGACCGGUAUUUCGGCACAGAUGAUGAUCAGCAGGUGGUGGUCCCUUCACAGUAGUUAUUUUACAUAUAAAAGACGUUGGAAAAAGGUUGAAAUUUGCUGAACUGAUGUAGUGAUGAAAACCAAAGCUCAGUCUUAUGCUCAACUGGGCCUAGAAUCAUAGUAUUGUGACCAAGUUGCCUUGGGUUUACAAACUUAGGUACACGUGUAAUUCUUCAAACCGACUUUUAACCUUUCUACUGUACCAGACUUGCGCUUUAGAUGUUGGUUUCCUUUCCAGGUACUUUAUAUCUUGAUACAUUUAGUUAUGAACCUGGAGAUGAAUGGAUAUAAAUCACUUUGAGUUAA